GAUGAACGCUGGCGGCGUGCCUAAUACAUGCAAGUCGAACGAAGAUCUAGCUUGCUAGAUCUUAGUGGCGAACGGGUGAGUAAUACAUAAAUAAUCUGCCCAUAUGACUGGGAUAACUAUUGGAAACGAUAGCUAAUACCGGAUAGGUUGAUCGGAGGCAUCUCUGAUGAAUUAAAGUAGGAUAUCUACACAAAUGGAUGAGUUUAUGGCGCAUUAGUUAGUUGGGGGGGUAACGGCCUACCAAGACGAUGAUGCGUAGCCGACCUGAGAGGGUGACCGACCACACUGGGACUGAGACACGGCCCAGACUCCUACGGGAGGCAGCAGUAGGGAAUUUUCGGCAAUGGGCGCAAGCCUGACCGAGCAACGCCGCGUGAGUGAUUAAGGCCUUCGGGUUGUAAAGCUCUGUCAGAGGGGAAGAAGUGGAAAGGUGCUAAUACUAUCUUUCCUUGACGGUACCCUCAAAGGAAGCACCGGCUAACUCCGUGCCAGCCGCCGCGGUAA
rnacentral:rRNA from 1 species